rnacentral:rRNA from 1 species
AUACGGAGGAUGCGAGCGUUAUCCAGAUUUAUUGGGUUUAAAGGGAGCGUAGGUGGGAUAUUAAGUCAGCUGUGAAAGUUUGGGGCUCAACCUUAAAAUUGCAGUUGAUACUGGUUUCCUUGAGUACGGUACAGGUGGGCGGAAUUCGUGGUGUAGCGGUGAAAUGCUUAGAUAUCACGAAGAACUCCGAUCGCGAAGGCAGCUCACCGGGCCGGAACUGACACUGAUGCUCGAAAGUGCGGGUAUCAAACAGGAUUAGAUACCCUGGUAGUCCGCACAGUAAACGAUGAAUACUCGCUGUUUGCGAUACACGGUAAGCGGCCAAGCGAAAGCGUUAAGUAUUCCACCUGGGGAGUACGCCGGCAACGGUGAAACUUAAAGGAAUUGACGGGG